UACGUAGGGUGCAAGCGUUAAUCGGAAUUACUGGGCGUAAAGCGUGCGCAGGCGGUCUGUUAAGACCGAUGUGAAAUCCCCGGGCUUAACCUGGGAACUGCAUUGGUGACUGGCAGGCUUUGAGUGUGGCAGAGGGGGGUAGAAUUCCACGUGUAGCAGUGAAAUGCGUAGAGAUGUGGAGGAAUACCGAUGGCGAAGGCAGCCCCCUGGGUCAAUACUGACGCUCAUGCACGAAAGCGUGGGGAGCAAACAGG
rnacentral:rRNA from 1 species